rnacentral:tRNA from 1 species
GGAUUGUGGCUCAGUGGUAGAGCGCUUGUCUAGCAUGUGCAAGGUCCUGGGUUUGAUCCUCAGCACCA